AUGGCUAUAUCACAUUGAAACGACGGUUCUCGUAUGAUCACCGAAGUUAAGCAACAUCGAACCUGGUCAGUACAUAGAUGGGUGACGACUUGGGAAAAUAGGCGUUGUAAG